UACGUAGGGGGCAAGCGUUGUCCGGAUUUAUUGGGCGUAAAGAGCGUGUAGGCGGCCAGACAAGUCCGUUGUGAAAACUAGAGGCUUAACCUCUAGACGUCGAUGGAAACUGUUUUGCUAGAGUGCAGAAGGGGCAAUCGGAAUUCUUGGUGUAGCGGUGAAAUGCGUAGAUAUCAAGAGGAACACCUGAGGUGAAGACGGGUUGCUGGGCCGAUACUGACGCUGAGGAGCGAAAGCGUGGGGAGCAAACAGG
rnacentral:rRNA from 1 species